rnacentral:rRNA from 1 species
GACGAACCGUGCAAACGUUAUUCGGAAUCACUGGGCUUAAAGGGCGCGUAGGCGGGUCGGACAGUCUGCGGUGAAAUCCUCCAGCUUAACUGGAGAACUGCCGUGGAUACUCCCGGCCUCGAGGAGGGUAGGGGCAUCUGGAACAGCCGGUGGAGCGGUGAAAUGCGUUGAUAUCGGCUGGAACUCCGGUGGCGAAGGCGAGAUGCUGGACCCUUUCUGACGCUGAGGCGCGAAAGCCAGGGGAGCGAACGGG